rnacentral:rRNA from 1 species
GGGGAUCGAAAGACCUUAUGCUUUUGGAGCGGCCGAUGUCUGAUUAGCUAGUUGGUAGGGUAAUGGCUUACCAAGGCGACGAUCAGUAGUUGGUCUGAGAGGACGGCCAGCCACACUGGGACUGAGACACGGCCCAGACUCCUACGGGAGGCAGCAGUGGGGAAUUUUGGACAAUGGGCGCAAGCCUGAUCCAGCAAUGCCGCGUGAGUGAAGAAGGCCUUCGGGUUGUAAAGCUCUUUCAGUUGAGAAGAAAAGGUCGUGACUAAUAAUCAUGAUUCAUGACGGUAUCAACAGAAGAAGCACCGGCUAACUACGUGCCAGCAGCCGCGGUAAUACGUAGGGUGCAAGCGUUAAUCGGAAUUACUGGGCGUAAAGGGUGCGCAGGCGGUUCUGUAAGUCAGAUGUGAAAUCCCCGGGCUUAACCUGGGAACUGCGUUUGAAA